rnacentral:lncRNA from 1 species
CUUCAUGAUUUAAUAACGUGUAUAUCCUCUUAAUUUUAUACACGAAUUUAGUGCCUAAAUUUGAAUAUUAAUUUUAGUCCACAAGUUCAUAAAUGUCAUGAAUUUUCUCCACUAGUAAAUUUAGGAUUAAAUUCAAUGAUGUGGCAAGCAAGGUGUUGAAGUAAUAAGUGAUUUGUUAAUUGAGUAACGUCAACCGGAUCAAAACCCAUCCAUAUUACUCAUCUCGUCAAAUUAUUAUUAGCUAAAAAUAAGGCCAUCGAAUUAUACUUUUUGUUGGGUCAUGAGGAAGUUAAUCAUCAUUCACAUCAUUCAAAAGAGAUAAUACAGUGACUUGGAUAUUACGCCUUAAGUGUUUGAUUUUGG